GGGGGGGAAAAAAAGAAACAUAAUUCAAAAAGAUAUGGACCCCAAUGUUCAUUGCAGCCCUGGUAACCAUAGACAAGACAUGGAAUCAACGGUAAAGAUCACUGAGUUGCAAAGACUCGGACAGGACUGAGCAAUUUUCAGUCCCGUUGCUUAACAGGGGUUGUAAGAGUGAAUCCUGCCUCCAUGACCACUACUUACCCUCCAUCAACAGAAGGACAACUGACCCUCAAUAUUCUAGGCACAGUCAGUGGAAGUCUCCCAUUCCAUGGCGUUCACUCAAAUGUUUCCAGAUUUUUCUCAACUGCGUAUUUCAAAAUAGAAAGAAGAAGGACCCAUCAGACGGAGGCUCCCAGGUCUCCCCAGCUCAGCUGAAUUAUUUCUGCCAAACAGGCUGGAGAAAUUCCUGGUCAACCCGGAGGGUAGCCACGCAAGGACAUGAACUCAAGAGUGACCCAUCAUCGCGGGGGUUAUGCAAAAUGGGAUUUCUGGACAAAAUGGAAACAAUUUUGUCAUAAGCGGAUUUAUCAGCCGUUGAGACAUGGGGGAAGCUGGUGAACUGGGAUGAGCAGACUCACUUAUGCAUAAGUUUACAAAGAGUCGUUCAAGUCACUCGGAAAACAGAGAAGACAGUGGACUGCCAGGCAAAGUCCCGAGAUUCGUAUUCUAAACAAACCACCCACCUUCUCCCUUACGCAUCCUUCAAGAGCAUCUCAGGCGAGCUGACUCCGUUUACUCAGCUCAACAUCCUGUAUCCUCAAGUGACACACCUCAGGCUGCGAUCUUAUGUAACCGUCUUUCCGAGACAGACUAAACAUUUCCCGACGGUGAAGGAAGUUAAAAAAAAAAAAAAAAGCGGGACAUGAUCAUAUGUAAAUUUCAACCCUGGGGCCAACACACCUAUGAGACACCUGCAGAAUUAUAUAUAUAUAUAUCGCUAUACAGUGUAUUUUGUGAAGGAAUACAGAUACAAUGUACACUUUCUGCAUCUGGAAACAGUCCAUGCCUGCUCAGUC